UUGAAUAUUCCUUAAAGGUCCACAUGUUAAAUGAUCGGCCUGCAGGAUGCUUCUGUCAGGAGACGUUGGAGCCUUUAUGAAGUAGUUCCUCAGGCCACUGGAGAAAUGCUGACAGAGGGAGCUGUGGGCCUUUUCCCCUCUUCACUGUCUGCUUUCUUCAUAAAAGUGAGUGAGUCCUAACACAGGCGGUGACUGCUGAUCGUUAAGCCUUCCAUCAUGUGUCGCUGUCUUUCUGAUGUCCUCAAAUGCAACCCGGUAGAUUUACAAAGAGAAAGACAGAGAAUAAAGAACAACACUGGACUUUCAUGAGUGAGUUGAGGAGUGGUGCACAUCCAUUUUUUUCAUAAGCCAACAUCUAAAUAUAGGUUCACAUUUUAACUGAAAAGAGAGGCUAAAAUGUAAGACACUGUAUGCUGUGUAUUCUGGGUAUAGAAGUGGAAUGGGCAACUUUCAAUAAAGGUUUAGCACAACA